UACGUAGGUGGCAAGCGUUAUCCGGAUUUAUUGGGCGUAAAGGGAACGCAGGCGGUCUUUUAAGUCUGAUGUGAAAGCCUUCGGCUUAACCGGAGUAGUGCAUUGGAAACUGGGAGACUUGAGUGCAGAAGAGGAGAGUGGAACUCCAUGUGUAGCGGUGAAAUGCGUAGAUAUAUGGAAGAACACCAGUGGCGAAAGCGGCUCACUGGACUGCAACUGACACUGAGGCUCGAAAGUGUGGGUAUCAAACAGG
rnacentral:rRNA from 1 species